rnacentral:rRNA from 1 species
UACGUAGGGUCCGAGCGUUGUCCGGAAUUAUUGGGCGUAAAGAGCUCGUAGGCGGUUUGUCGCGUCUGCUGUGAAAUCUGGGGGCUCAACCCCCAGCCUGCAGUGGGUACGGGCAGACUAGAGUGCGGUAGGGGAGAUUGGAAUUCCUGGUGUAGCGGUGGAAUGCGCAGAUAUCAGGAGGAACACCGAUGGCGAAGGCAGAUCUCUGGGCCGUAACUGACGCUGAGGAGCGAAAGCAUGGGGAGCGAACAGG